GACGAACGCUGGCGGCGUGCUUAACACAUGCAAGUCGAACGGAAAGGCCCUGCUUUUGUGGGGUGCUCGAGUGGCGAACGGGUGAGUAACACGUGAGUAACCUGCCCUUGACUUUGGGAUAACUUCAGGAAACUGGGGCUAAUACCGGAUAGGAGCUCCUGCUGCAUGGUGGGGGUUGGAAAGUUUCGGCGGUUGGGGAUGGACUCGCGGCUUAUCAGCUUGUUGGUGGGGUGGUGGCUUACCAAGGCUUUGACGGGUAGCCGGCCUGAGAGGGUGACCGGCCACAUUGGGACUGAGAUACGGCCCAGACUCCUACGGGAGGCAGCAGUGGGGAAUAUUGCACAAUGGGCGGAAGCCUGAUGUAGCAACGCCGCGUGCGGGAUGACGGCCUUCGGGUUGUAAACCGCUUUCGCCUGUGACGAAGCGUGAGUGACGGUAAUGGGUAAAGAAGCACCGGCUAACUACGUG
rnacentral:rRNA from 1 species